GAUGAACGCUGGCGGCGUGCCUAAUACAUGCAAGUCGAGCGAACAGACGAGGAGCUUACUCCUCUGACGUUAGCGGCGGACGGGUGAGUAACACGUGGAUAACCUACCUAUAAGACUGGGAUAACUUCGGGAAACCGGAGCUAAUACCGGAUAACAUGUUGAACCGCAUGGUUCAACAGUGAAAGACGGUCUUGCUGUCACUUAUAGAUGGAUCCGCGUCGCAUUAGCUAGUUGGUAAGGUAACGGCUUACCAAGGCAACGAUGCGUAGCCGACCUGAGAGGGUGAUCGGCCACACUGGAACUGAGACACGGUCCAGACUCCUACGGGAGGCAGCAGUAGGGAAUCUUCCGCAAUGGGCGAAAGCCUGACGGAGCAACGCCGCGUGAGUGAAGAAGGUCUUCGGAUCGUAAAACUCUGUUAUUAGGGAAGAACAAAUGUGUAAGUAACUAUGCACGUCUUGACGGUACCUAAUCAGAAAGCCACGGCUAACUACGUGCCAGCAGCCGCGGUAAUACGUAGGUGGCAAGCGUUAUCCGGAAUUAUUGGGCGUAAAGCGCGCGUAGGCGGUUUUUUAAGUCUGAUGUGAAAGCCCACGGCUCAACCGUGGAGGGUCAUUGGAAACUGGAAAACUUGAGUGCAGAAGAGGAAAGUGGAAUUCCAUGUGUAGCGGUGAAAUGCGCAGAGAUAUGGAGGAACACCAGUGGCGAAGGCGACUUUCUGGUCUGUAACUGACGCUGAUGUGCGAAAGCGUGGGGAUCAAACAGGAUUAGAUACCCUGGUAGUCCACGCCGUAAACGAUGAGUGCUAAGUGUUAGGGGGUUUCCGCCCCUUAGUGCUGCAGCUAACGCAUUAAGCACUCCGCCUGGGGAGUACGACCGCAAGGUUGAAACUCAAAGGAAUUGACGGGGACCCGCACAAGCGGUGGAGCAUGUGGUUUAAUUCGAAGCAACGCGAAGAUCCUUACCAAAUCUUGACAUCCUCUGACCCCUCUAGAGAUAGAGUUUUCCCCUUCGGGGGACAGAGUGACAGGUGGUGCAUGGUUGUCGUCAGCUCGUGUCGUGAGAUGUUGGGUUAAGUCCCGCAACGAGCGCAACCCUUAAGCUUAGUUGCCAUCAUUAAGUUGGGCACUCUAAGUUGACUGCCGGUGACAAACCGGAGGAAGGUGGGGAUGACGUCAAAUCAUCAUGCCCCUUAUGAUUUGGGCUACACACGUGCUACAAUGGACAAUACAAAGGGUAGCGAAACCGCGAGGUCAAGCAAAUCCCAUAAAGUUGUUCUCAGUUCGGAUUGUAGUCUGCAACUCGACUACAUGAAGCUGGAAUCGCUAGUAAUCGUAGAUCAGCAUGCUACGGUGAAUACGUUCCCGGGUCU
rnacentral:rRNA from 1 species